CACUCAGAAACAAAACAACCCAAAAUUAAGAACGCCAGGGCAUCAAAACAAAGUUCAUCUGACGUUCUUAAUUUUGGGCUGCAGUCAACACCCCAAAAAAAAAGUUCACAGCUUGAACUGUCUGCCCCAAAAUAUUUUUUGUUUACUUUCUUGGUAUCGAGAGGAUCACAUCGUUUUUUUUGGUAAAUGAAAUGGAAAAGUGAACUCCGAAAUGACAAUGUCGUCAACCGACACUUUCAAUUUUAAGCGGAAUGACAUCCGGAUGUGCCUUCGGAUGGUGAAAAAUUCAUUACCAGGCUACGAACAACCAAAAAGAAUACGAGCUGAUUCAUUGAUAUUGGAACCAGUAUGGACGGAGGAUGAAAAUAUUGAGGAUCCGGAUCUGGAUCCGGCACGGAAAGAUAUUACUAUUUAUGCGCGUAGUAGGGGUUUAUGUAGUUCCAAAGGUAAACGAACUUAGUAUGGACGAGUGCCCGGUCAACCGCAUCGACAGGCUUAGUUAGUAACAGGAAAACAUGCCCCCCAUAUAAAGUUAGCAUACCAAAUUUUUAAUCCGUUCCGAUGGUUCUCCGAUGUCAUUCUUGCUUUUUACAUGAUGAAGCUUUUCUUCCGGCAGCAUCCCACAGGCUAAGUGACUGUAGCUUAUAUGUUCUAAGUGAUAGAAAACUCGAGAAUUACGAAGAGUUGUUAAUUGCAGUCUACAUAAAACGAAUUGCAAGAAUUAUAUUUUUGUAGAUGCAAAUUUUAUUCAAAUAAA